CGGGACCGGAGGGCCCGGAGCGGAACGUGUCCCAGGAGGCGGUGGGUGUUCAAUGGGUGGUUACAGCAGACCACUGCUGUAAGGGGCCUGGAGCACUGUCUCUGCUGCCUUGAUCUCCUGGAUAUCAUAAAACCUUACCAAGAUACUCAUGAAGGUACGCAUCUUGGGAAAAAGUUUUCAAAUGGUCAUUUUGAGAAAUAUUACAUCAAUAUAUGGUCUAGCGAAGAAGAUAAGGAGGAAAAAGUAUAAGGAGGAAGUCAAGAAGGUUAUAAGACAAGGAAGCAAGAAAGAAGAAAAGAAGGAUAGAAGGAAGAAAAAGAAUGAGAAACAAGAUUCCCUGGUUAAACUUAUAGUAACAGUCUUCUAACUUCUUGUAGGUCUAAUUGUACACUUUCCUGUAUAUCUACCUUUCACUUAAACCUCAAGAAUGUUCUGUUGGCAUGGAAUCCUCCCAAGAAAUGGAAAGGGCAUGAGCAAUGAAUUAACAUAGCUAUACAAAUUUGUGUAUAUAAAUGUUUGUUCAUGUUUGUACAUUUUUGUGUAUUAACUCAGGUUGAACAUACAUGGUUCGCAUGUGGUGGUCAGAGGACAGCUUCCAGUGUCAGUCUUUGCUACCCACCUUGUUUAAAGACAUGGUCUCCUUGUUGUUAGGAUAGUUAGUGAGCUUUGACCUUCCAGUCAUUUUCCUGUCUCCAUUCCUUUUUACCAUAGGAAUGCUGGAUUAUAGACACAUUGUCCUAACUUUUAUUUUUCUCUUGCUGUCAUAAAAAAUCUAUAACUACUGGGACAUAACUCAAGACUUUCUCAGAGUUCUUGAUGACACAACAAAGGGUACUUUAGUUCUAUGUCCUCAUCCAGGAAUUGACUUGGCAAGGCCAGUCUAGGCUGAAGCCAGUGCCUUGGAGUCAUAACUGCGGUUUCCAGAGAUCUGAUUCUUCAAUCCUGGACUGUGGUUAUCAGUUCUAAGGCAGCUGUGUCUGAAGUCUCCAGUGUUCUCUUAGACAACAUUGUCUAAUCUUUCUGCUGAACUUGGUUCCCCCCACCUUCCCUGCUGUAAAUGAUAUAUAAGAUGCUGUACUUCUUAAUAAAUUUGUUUGACAUAAGUCACCACUUCA